UCUUAGAGGUAACAAACCCUCCUGUGGGGUUGCCUUUCAUAAGCAAACUAACCAAUUCAGAGCCCUCUCCCCACCCCCUGCUUAAUGAGCUCUUGCACUGGGGGACACUAUUCCCCUGUCCUAAUCACCUCAGGCACAGGCAGGGCAUCGAGUUAUGCAAGUGAGCCAAUCUUAAACCUGCUUAGCCUGCUCACCCUGUCUCACCCACGCUUUCCUGCAAACACCACAAAAAGGCUCUUUCAGGUGGCAGUUCGCCUCACUCUCUGUGCCUACAACCGACCUCAGAGCCCCUCCUGUGGCCUGCAUGGGUGGCUGACCUGCCCCCCUCCUCCUGGAAACUCUAAUAAACUAUCAUUUCAAUGGCAGUUGUCUCCUGAUCUGUUGGCCUCACCAUACCUAAAUAAAAAAUAAAAUCUACAUUUUAAAAGGGGCUCAUGGGCAGUGUCAGCUUCCUUCCAAGCUGGCAAAUUUGAGCAGUCUUGUCUCAGUGUUUUCAGGGGUCCGUGGUAUCUAACUGGCUCAACGCUUGGACAAAGACAUCUUAUGGAUACAAAAGGAAUCAACCCCCUCGCGAUGCUUUCAGCAUCUCAUAUGCUUAUCCUGGGAGGAUUUGGGUCUCAGGAAGGACACAUGGUUGUCUGUCUGCUGCCAGCCCAGACGACAAGGACUGCCCAGUGGUCCCACGGCAUCAGAAGCUAAAUAAAAUGGUUAUUUUAAACCACUAAACUAGGAGAACAUAGAGUUGUUGCACAACAAACAAGAGCUUCUGAAACCGCUUGAUGUCCUAAGGUUAGCAUUCCCUCAAUCUGGACUUGGAACCCCUUCCUGUGGGAGGACUAGAUGAACAUGGAACUGAGCCUGGCAGACACUGCAAAUGAGGCCCCUGCCAGCCAGGGGAAGCAUUGAUAGGCACACUGAGGGUAUGCUGAAGAAGGCAGUGAGGUCCAGCUCCAGGAAGCUGCAGCAACAUUAGGCCACUGCAGCGGACCUCAUUUUCAGAAGGAUUUUAAGCCAAAGCCCAAGGUUUAUUAUAAAGGACUUACAAAGGACAAAGACGAAGAGACACAUAGGGCAAGGUACCAGGGAAGGGGCACAGAGCUUCCAUGCCCUCCCUGGGCGCAUCACUCUACAGGAACCUCCCUGUGUUCAGCUAUCCAGAAGCUCUCCAAACUCCAUCCUCUUGGGCUUUAAUGGAAGCUUCGCAAGCCCUCAAGAUACAUGAAGCUGUGGGCCCUCAGAAACAUCUGGCUCAGCAGAAAUGACUGCAGGGUCUGCCUCUGAAGCCCAGCGUUUCUACUCCAUUUGGGAUAUUCCACACAGGAAGAGAAUUGGAAAUGCUGGAGGCUCCCCACGUCAGGCCGUCCUCCAGGAGUGGCUAUCCAUCUCUAAGGGCUUUCCGGACUGCUGCCCAGCAACUUCAACAGGCACCUCUAAUCGACGACCUCUCCUGCCUCCGCUGGUGUAGGGACGCCAGGCUUCUGAACAGCACUGCUCUCCUCAUUUGCCUUCAAGCUGGCCUAUCUUUCCUGCUGGUGGUGGUGGGCAGAGGCAAGGGUGUGGUCAGCUUUGAAAGAGAUUCCAUUCUUGGAAUAAAGUGAUCUAGCAAACAAAGUCUUCAAAAAAAAAAUACAUGAGGGGAAAAACAAUAAGCUGAACAUGAGCAGAAAACACAUUUUCUUGCAUUUGUGGUCAUCUUCUAUGAAGCACAGUAAGAAUCUUUGGAAGCCAGUCUUCAGGGCAAAAGGAUGGAGGAUGCAGCAUCAUGAGUAUCCAGAGAGUCAGGAUGAAGUUGUUCUUGGGAACUGCAGAGACAAGCAGUUCUAUAUGGUUUCAACACAAAUGGGCUAGGAAGAACCCUGGCACCGUGAGCAAUAAUAGUGUCACUACCUUUUUCUAGAGGUGGGAGACAAAAACUUAGCCAGACACAUUCAACAGUAAGACUCAACAAAGAAUCUUCAUAUUCAUGGACAGAAACUAAAUCUGCCACAUUUCUAGUAAGGUUCUUUCUUGGUUAAUUAAAUGUAUUAAUCUCUUCCAA
rnacentral:lncRNA from 1 species